UAUACCCUGUCUCUCCCCCACCCCCAACAAAAAAAAGAAAGUGUUGCCGGAAAUGCAGUAGGCAAAAAGUUUUCAAAUACGACUCCAUAACAGGAAGAAGGAUAAAUGAGGUAAGAAAUAUAGUUUUCAUUGGGCUGUCUCAACAUCUCUCCAUUGUCUGUUGCUCAUCUGGCAUUUCACAGAUCACAAAAUACUAAACAUUUAAGCAAGUGGUAAUUUGAGUCCAUUUAAGUUCAAAUGAAAGCCAAGUGGCCUUGCCCCAAAAAUUAUGAAAUUCAAAACCUGAUUAUAUGUUUGUGUCUUUCUGCAGGGGCAAGCAGAAGUAAGGGUGAAAUGGUUACCUUGCUCUGCAUGUGGAAAAAUCUGGGAGGAGACAUGGGAGCCGGCCUGCCAGUUCUCACCAGGUGUCAAGCAUGUGUGACGUCACCCAUUCAUCUACAAUUCAGUAUGAGUUGAAUACCUGCUAUGAGUUGUCGAGUUCGCUGUUACGGCACAGCCAUCCUGUUUGCGCAUGUGAUGAUUUUAGAUAAGAAGGAGGAGCCACGUUACACACUUUCAAUGGUUUCCACCCUAACAUGCUGUCAUGCUGUUUUUUUCUUUAUUACUGAUUCUUGCUAAAAGCUGUGUUCAAAUAAAUCAAAGUGUUACUAUAUUUCUGUUUAUGUCUUUCCAUUCACCUUGUGGGUUAGCCAAUUAACUGAAAUAUUCUUCAACACAUCAAAUUAUAUAUUGCAAUAUGAUGCACCAAAAUAUGUAGGAAGGUGGGACAUGUUUUCAAUCAUAUUAACUGACACCAUGAAGAGACAGUUGAUUCCACCAGCUAAAUCAUACAUUUUCUGUAUAAAGGGUAGCUGAGGUAGGCAGGGGUGGAUAAAUGCACAGGCUUACCAAGACCAGAUGUCAAGAGGGUCCAGAAGCCUCUAAAAAUGUGAAAGCAUGGUUUUUUUAAUUCAGGAAAGUUUCUAAAGGCUUUUUAAAAAAAUGCUUCUAAAGGCAAGGCACAUGAAACCCUGGCUUCUGCACUAGUGGCCUUUUCCAUUUACUUUGACACACUGAAUGUGUGUGUGCAAGUCUACCCCCGGAUGGGUAGUAAAAAGCAGAAGACAAUACAUUUUUUUUACACUUUUAAUGUUAUUAUUUCAAUCUAUAUGGGCCAGGGAAGCUGGAAAAGUUCAAGGACAAUGGUUAAUGUUGUUCCCCAGGUUUUAUGAAUCUUAGUUAAGAAAGUUUUUUUUUUAAAUGUUUUUUGACACUCAUGGUUAAUUAAUAUAUUUAUUUUUUGUCAUUUAAGGUUGCCGGAAAUGCAGUAGGCAAAAAGUUUUCAAAUACGACUCCAUAACAGGAAGAAGGAUAAAUGAGGUAAGAAAUAUAGUUUUCAUUGGGCUGUCUCAACAUCUCUCCAUUGUCUGUUGCUCAUCUGGCAUUUCACAGAUCACAAAAUACUAAACAUUUAAGCAAGUGGUAAUUUGAGUCCAUUUAAGUUCAAAUGAAAGCCAAGUGGCCUUGCCCCAAAAAUUAUGAAAUUCAAAACCUGAUUAUAUGUUUGUGUCUUUCUGCAGGGGCAAGCAGAAGUAAGGGUGAAAUGGUUACCUUGCUCUGCAUGGUAUGUACUGCUUUAUAUUGGUUUAUAUUGCCUUCAUACAUAUCCUUUCUGUUUCCACUUUUAACCAUCUCAUAGGUGGUGGAUAAAGGUUGGAACAUAAGGUCGGAAUGUAUAUUAUAGCACACCUGUGUAAAUGUACAGGUGGGUCUCAAAGUUUUGCAACCAACAAGCAGCGUUGAGAGAAAUGUCAAGUCCACUAUAUUUUAAGUCCAGAGUCAAUGCAGCCUUCUACCUGGAGAUUUUAGAGCAUGGUUCCAUCUACUGACGAGCUUUAUGUAUAUGCUGAUUUCCUUUUCCAGUAGGACUCUGCCCCUGCCACAGUGCCAAAACUUCUAGUAACUGAUUUGCUUAGUAUGGUAUUGCUGUGCUUAACUCGUCUCACCUGAACCCCAUAGGGAGGACAAUGAUAUAAACCAAACCCAACAUUAAAGACAACCUCAAAGUCACUAUCAAAGCAACAUGGGCUUCCAUAACACCUCAGCAAUGCCAUACACUGAUGGCGUCCACACCACAUUGAUGCAGUCAUUUGUGCAAAAGCAGCCAGAACAAGUAGAAUGUAUGCAUUAAAAUUUUUGAUAAGUCAGAUUUGUAAAUUUAUUUUCAAAAGGUCGACAUUUCUGUAUUCCUCUUUAUUAUAAUAUAGUGAUUUGAUGAUUUUUGGUUUUCAUGAGCUGUCAGCUGUCAUCAAGAUUAAAACAACAAAAAUUGCUUGAAAUAUUGCACAAUAUUGUAAUUUUGGAGACCCACAUGUUUAUUAAUUACACUGUUUGUUACACUGUUGGUAUAGGAUGGAUUAAAUGCAGUGUCAAAUAUUGUCUACAGGAUUUAGCCACUUGCUCUUUUCAGUACCAUGCAUAAUAGCCCCUGUGUGAUUAUAUGUAGGAAGUAGACAUUCACCAAUAUACUGGCAAAAAUCUGUAUCAGCCAAGAUCAUCCUUGCUGACUGAUAUAGGCUAUUGGCUAGUUAACUUUCUAUGACUUCAUAGAUCGGAGUGGCUGAUGUUUAUCUGUUACAUUGCAUCAAGCAUUACAGUAUAUAUGUAUAGGUUUGUAUAAAAACAAAUACAAGGCCGUACAAUAAUUUUUUACAACUAUUUAUGCUGUGAAACUAUUAUGUUAAAAUGGCCCCUCUGUUUUUCACUGUUCUAAUGUUGUUAUUAUUAUUUUUUUUUACUGAUACUUACAGUGGAAAAAUCUGGGAGGAGACAUGGGAGCCGGCCUGCCAGUUCUCACCAGGUGUCAAGCAUGUGUGACGUCACCCAUUCAUCUACAAUUCAGUAUGAGUUGAAUACCUGCUAUGAGUUGUCGAGUUCGCUGUUACGGCACAGCCAUCCUGUUUGCGCAUGUGAUGAUUUUAGAUAAGAAGGAGGAGCCACGUUACACACUUUCAAUGGUUUCCACCCUAACAUGCUGUCAUGCUGUUUUUUUCUUUAUUACUGAUUCUUGCUAAAAGCUGUGUUCAAAUAAAUCAAAGUGUUACUAUAUUUCUGUUUAUGUCUUUCCAUUCACCUUGUGGGUUAGCCAAUUAACUGAAAUAUUCUUCAACACAUCAAAUUAUAUAUUGCAAUAUGAUGCACCAAAAUAUGUAGGAAGGUGGG
rnacentral:lncRNA from 12 species